UCACUAAUCUGGACAUUUUCGUCAAUGC
rnacentral:sRNA from 1 species